rnacentral:lncRNA from 1 species
GUGAACUUUGGGUCUGAUCUCGAUUCGGCGCCCAGCACUUUGUGGAGCUGCUCAGGCGAGAUGGCCUGGCCGGAGGCUGCUGGCCUCCCCCAUGGACAACGAAAUGUGUCGGCUUGAGCAGCUGGUUGAGCUGCCAGCUGGGCCCCUGAGAGGCAGCCUCAUUUCAUUGCCUACUUGAGUUCCCAGGGGACUUGCAACAGCAUUGGAUCCACCUGGAUGACGCAAAUGAACAAGGAGCAGGAGAUUGCAAGCUCUCACGGUGGUGGAGGAAGUGAAUAUUCGAGACGUGAACACCUUUUCCAGCUAUUAAUAUCAGAGACAUAAUAGAGGUGGACAGCACUUCGUCCUGAACGGUCCAACAUAAAUACCUUUCCACACCACAGGAAUGCCAGAUGCAACCUAUUCUGCCCAGCCCGGCUCAGAAGGGAGAAACGGCUCGAAAGAGGCAUCAUCCUGCCUGCACUUUAUGUGUCUGAAUACUUAAGGACUCAGGCAGUCGUUUCCUUGCACUCCUUGUAUUCGUGCAAGACGGCCGAAAGGAUGUCGAGAAAGGGGAGCUCAUUGCUUGCCACUUCCCGAAGCAAAUGCCCUCCUCUCCCGCGUGAGGACUUACUCGCGAAGGAGCAAGGCCUGCUUUGUCCCCAGCCAGACCCUAGAUGCAAGCAUCUCUGGGCUUCAGUGGAAGAAAGCAGAAGCGGGAUUGAAUGAGUACAUAGGAAGGGAUCACAAGGGAUCGUGUUGGAGUGCAGAUCGGGGCAAAAUGGACUGGUGUGCUUUCAUUUAGCAAAGGAAAAGUUUAAACGUUCCUCUUCCAUCACGCUGCUUCUCCAUUCGUUUUUGCUUGUUCUGCCCUGCAUGUGCGGCUGUCCAGAAGGCUUUCUGCAAGCACACAGAAACUAGAAAGGCCUACUAGAGAGUCCACUGCAGAGGCAAAU